AUAUUGGACAAUGGGGGAAACCCUGAUCCAGCAAUGCCGCGUGUGUGAAGAAGGCCUUAGGGUUGUAAAGCACUUUCAGCAGGGAAGAUAAUGACGGUACCUGCAGAAGAAGCCCCGGCUAACUCCGUGCCAGCAGCCGCGGUAAGACGGAGGGGGCUAGCGUUGUUCGGAAUUACUGGGCGUAAAGCGCGCGUAGGCGGCCUGUCAAGUUGGGGGUGAAAGCCCGGAGCUCAACUCCGGAACUGCCUUCAAAACUGACAAGCUAGAGUUCGGAAGAGGAGAGUGGAAUACCCAGUGUAGAGGUGGAAUUCGUAGAUAUUGGGUAGAACACCAGUGGCGAAGGCGACUCUCUGGUCCGAUACUGACGCUGAGGUGCGAAAGCGUGGGGAGCAAACAGG
rnacentral:rRNA from 1 species